AAAGGUUACUCCAACCACCAUGACCACUUCUGCAUUUAGAAGUGGUCAUGGUGGUUGGAGUUUGUAUG
rnacentral:miRNA from 1 species